UUGGUGACGGGACUCAUCUCCAGCCCCUCUCCCCAUCCUGGAGGAGGGACAGUGGAGCUGAAGAUUCCAACCUUUUAGUCACAUGGUUGGUUCCUCUGGCAAGGGGCUCCCGUCCUCUGAGUCACCCUUAUUAACAUAAACUCGGAGGCAGAACAGCAGAGCGAAGUGAUUCAGAACAUUGGGAAGACCAGCGUGAUUCCAUUUCUGACUCCGGCAUUGGCCACUCCUUGUGUAUGCUCUGCAAACUAGCUGAGCCUCAGUUUACCUUCCGUACAUGGGGGCACCAGCAGUACCUACCUCACAAGGGUGUUGUAAAGAAUAAAUGUGAUAAUUCAAGUAAA